rnacentral:pre_miRNA from 1 species
UGGGCAUCUGUUGAGUACCGCCAUGUCUGUUGGGCAUCCACAAUCUCCCACCAGGCAUUGCGGUCUCUGCUGAUGCUCUG